rnacentral:rRNA from 1 species
UAAUACCAAAAACUUCCAACAACGGAUCUCUUGGUUCUCGCAUCGAUGAAGAACGCAGCGAAAUGCGAUACGUAAUAUGAAUUGCAGAUUUUGUGAAUCAUCGAAUCUUUGAACGCACAUUGCGCCCGUGGGUAUUCCCGCGGGCAUGCGUGUGUGAGCGGUUAUCUC